UGAGGGUACCUGUCUCGUGGGGAUUUAUGUCAUUCCUACGUAUCUCUUUCAACGUCCAAUUUCCCUUGUUAGUUGCUGCCGUUACUGCAUCAAUCUCUUGUUCACUCAUCAUUAGUCGCGCAAGCUACUUUAUCGAAUCCUCUAGAUCUAGAUCUAGAUCCAUCCUUUUAAGCUUUGACCCGUAGUUAUUGAUCACUAACUCAAUCCCGCUAUUCACGACGGCGACCUGAGGUAAAAAAGCUAAUGUCACUGCCACUGCCGUCACCAUCGUUCCAACUGCCACCAACCCUUAGUCACCAAACCACUGACCCAACACUUGAGAGCCAUAAACAAAAAUACCCUCUCCGGCUGGUGUGUUUUUUAUUUGGCUUUUUUCUUUUGCUUUUAUUUUUUUAGUUUUUAUUUUUAUUUUUUUAAUGGUGGUUGGUUUUAUUAUUGACUGUUGGGUGUAGUCUAUCUGCUCCUCUUGAUAUCUUGUAUGGUUGUUGAUGAUGUCAACUUAGAGUUCAGUUCAAAAUUGUGUCAAUGUUCAAAUCGGGAGGAUAUGCCUGUAUUGGAGUUGAUAAAGGGCUCUAAUAGUUGUGCAUUUAUAUUCUGAUGACUUGGUGCAAGUUACCGAUGGCUUGGGUUGAGGGCUCAUUGAGAGGGGAUACUUUAGAUAGUUUGAUUAUAUUGUUGAGUUUUUGUGAUUUUUGGUGUGCUUGUAGUUAGUAGUUAGUAUUAUGUUAUGGCGCUCUAUGUUAAUUUUGUAGGAUUAUUUUCCUUCUCUAAUUAGAAAAGGAUCUCAUCUACAUUAGUUGAGGUUGGCAACAGUUCGUAAAAUUUCUUUUCAUUGUAAGUAGGUUUAAUAGAUGAAAUUCUUUUUUUCUUUAGGUUUGUAAUUAUAUUUGGUUUUAGGAAUUAUUCGAUCCUAGGCUUAAAUUAUAGGUCUUAUCCUAUUUAUUAUAUUUAAGCUUAGUGAUCGUGUAUUUAUGUCUCUAUGACAUUUUAUAGUUGGACUAGUUUUCAUCGUUAAUGAAAG
rnacentral:lncRNA from 1 species